AGCGAGCUUGCCUAGAUGAAUUUGGUGCUUGCACCAGAUGAAACUAGAUACAAGCGAGCGGCGGACGGGUGAGUAACACGUGGGUAACCUGCCCAAGAGACUGGGAUAACACCUGGAAACAGAUGCUAAUACCGGAUAACAACACUAGACGCAUGUCUAGAGUUUAAAAGAUGGUUCUGCUAUCGCUCUUGGAUGGACCUGCGGUGCAUUAGCUAGUUGGUAAGGCAACGGCUUACCAAGGCAAUGAUGCAUAGCCGAGUUGAGAGACUGAUCGGCCACAUUGGGACUGAGACACGGCCCAAACUCCUACGGGAGGCAGCAGUAGGGAAUCUUCCACAAUGGACGCAAGUCUGAUGGAGCAACGCCGCGUGAGUGAAGAAGGGUUUCGGCUCGUAAAGCUCUGUUGGUAGUGAAGAAAGAUAGAGGUAGUAACUGGCCUUUAUUUGACGGUAAUUACUUAGAAAGUCACGGCUAACUACGUGCCAGCAGCCGCGGUAAUACGUAGGUGGCAAGCGUUGUCCGGAUUUAUUGGGCGUAAAGCGCGCGUAGGCGGUUUUUUAAGUCUGAUGUGAAAGCCCACGGCUCAACCGUGGAGGGUCAUUGGAAACUGGAAAACUUGAGUGCAGAAGAGGAAAGUGGAAUUCCAUGUGUAGCGGUGAAAUGCGCAGAGAUAUGGAGGAACACCAGUGGCGAAGGCGACUUUCUGGUCUGCAACUGACGCUGAUGUGCGAAAGCGUGGGGAUCAAACAGGAUUAGAUACCCUGGUAGUCCACGCCGUAAACGAUGAGUGCUAAGUGUUAGGGGGUUUCCGCCCUCUUAGUGCUGCAGCUAACGCAUUAAGCACU
rnacentral:rRNA from 1 species